ensembl:lncRNA novel transcript, sense intronic to SLC8A1
UUUUUUUUUUUUUUUUUUUUUUUUUUUUUAGUUAUUAGAGAUGAUGGAGGUUAAAAGGAUGCUGCUUAACAAAGAUAAAAGCUCACUUAGACUAGUAAUCUUUUUUUCUUUUUAAAGAAACAUAGGAUUACAGAAAUAUUUAAUGAAUUAAUAAGGUACUUCUCAACACAUUUUUUUCAUUGCCAACUAGUUUUUCCAGGUUAUGUACAUAAUUGAAAAAGUGUUGUGUUGCGUGUUAUGCUUUGAUGCAGUCUUGUUUUGUAAUCCAUUGCUUUCAAAUUUCUAUCAUCAUCUUCUAAUUAUCUUAAAUUUGCACUGUGCUACUAGAAUAGAAUGAUGGUAUUAUUACUAUUAUUACUGGCAGCAGAAUUGAAACCUGGAGUAUAAGUGGUUUGCAGACCAUUCAUAGAUUCAUGUAACCGUAGAGAUUCAUGGUUGAGUAGUUGAGCACCUGACUUCUAUGGGAAAAGCAGCGCUCUUCAAGUUACUGCCUAAUUAACAAACACACUUCAUGGAUUGAGGAUUUAAAGGGGAAGAAUGGUCAUGCUUAGUACAAUUGAAUGCAUAUUUGCUACUAAUUACAUAUACCUCACAUUUUCUCUUAGAGACCAACUGCUUUAAAAAUAUUUUAUUAAAUGUUUUUGUUACCCUGACAGAGAUACAUUCCUUUAAGGGUGUUUUCAGCAAAACAUUCAAGUUUUCAGGAAGUAUUAUCUUUCUUUCCUUUUACCCCUUUCCCAUUUCCAUGAAAUUAAAAGGAAAUGCAUAGCCAAGUGUUUUUUCCCAGAAGAAAAUAAUAAGAAAUAUGCUGAUUUUACAGAACAGUAUGAACAGUUAUAAGGGUCUAUGUAAAAGGCAGCGUGUGUUCAUUCUCCAUGCAUACUAUUAGUAAAAAUGAAUGGACUUUCUCCUCAUCUGUUUUUAUUUAGAGCAGGACCUUCUUGCAUUGAAUUUCCUGUGUCAGCUGUGUUCUAAUUCUGUAAAGCCUUUGGUUAAGGAACAGCUCUGACUCUAUAUCCCUAUCUUUUCCUUUCCCAUGUCUUAAUUUUGAGUUCUUAUCACUCUGAUAAUAAGCAGACAUUUCUGAAAAUCAGAAAUCCUGCAGUUCCACUUUAGUUUUUCUUUCUCUUCCACUACCUUUCCUCUCUUAGAACAGUAAAUAUGUCAGAUGGGAACCUAAAGUCAACCUCUGUGCUGUCUUGCUCUGACUUAAAUGCUCUCAUCCAAGUAGGUGGCAUUUCUCAUGAGGGGCCAGACAGAGUUAUGGAACACCACAAGCAGGGUAGCCUUCGGAUUUGACUUGAGAAAUUAGGAAGAAUCUGGUGGUCCUGACUAAGAGUGCCAGUGAUAAAAAUCCAGGUGAGCACAGACCAUUGUCAUAAGAGGGGCCUGCACACAGUUCUAGAUAGGUAUGUUUACAGGAAUUCGUGGUCUGAAUAGCAGGGCUAGAUCAGAUUUGAGAUCUGAUUUACCUAAUACUAGAAAGAAUGUAGUCAGUCAGGAGACUCAGGCCGGACUUUUUAUUUGAUAAAGAAAUGAAACUGUUGAUGUUGGUUUCUUCAGUAGGAUUUCUCUACUUCUUUUAGACUUCUCAAAAGGUUUUUGUUUCUUUAGUUGUUGCUUUUGUUGUUGUUCCCCUACCCUCAGAAGUAAGUAGAUUAAGGUAAACUUUUGUCUUAAAGAGCACUGUCUAGUUAGUCCCUGUUUUCUGGACAUCAGUGGUCUGUUAAAUCUAUAAUCAGUAGGUGAAUUUGUUUACACAGACAUGAGCAUUUGUGCACAUCUUUUGUGGGACUUUGCAGAAAAGAAGAGAGAUGUUACCUCCUCAGCUCCAGAAUCUUUUACUUCAGUGUCUCAUUUCCUCUCUGGGAUUGGGGUAGAGUUCUUGGCACAGAAGAUGCUAACAACUGACUUUCUGGGAGUCUUUGCACAAAUGACAACUUCUGUGGCCUUCAACUUCCCCAAGCUAGCAUGAUGGGUAGAUUAAUAUGUUCCUUUUUGGCAGGAAUGGGAACUAAUUUUUUUUUAAAGAAGGAGGAAAAAACACGUUGUGCUAAAUCAGUGAUUACUAUGGCAACAGGCACUCUAUACAUGUUAGAAAAAAA